rnacentral:lncRNA from 1 species
ACGAACCCCAUUUUCGUACAAUUGUUCAAAACUUUAUUGUUCAAGAUGCUCGGACGUACAUUGUUCAAGAUAAAGAAGAAUCUUUAUCUUUAUAUUGUGCGAAGCCUUUAAGAAGUUAUAUAAGGAGAGCCCAUCUCUCAUUGAAGGUAUCGAGUCUUGAGUUCAUCUUCUCUCUCCUCCUUCUUUGUCAUCUCUAUGAAACACAUGGUUAUCUGAGUGUGUAAAUAAAUGAGUGAUCUAUCAGUAAGUUGUUGAGUCUAUCAGUUGUAAAAGUUAAGUCUAUCAGUUGUAGUCUAUCAGUUGUUUAAGAAAUGGUAUUAGAACAUUGGUUUGAAUAAAGAUUGUAAAGUUAUCAUUUGUGUGCAAGCUGAGCAGGUACAUAUCUCUUUUUUAUAUAAAUUGAAUUCUUAUAUUUUAUUUCUGUUGCAUACAAGUUUCUUUUGAAACCCAU